ensembl:lncRNA
CUCUGGAGAUGCACAAUGAGGGACGUCUGCAGAGACUGAGAAAGAGUCUCACCACAUCCUGACAUGAGGAAAAAGACUUUAUUGAAGACUACAAUGAGAAAAACUAUCAGACAGCAGACGGCUGCAUUCAAGUCUGUAGCUGCUGAAUUCAUGGAUGAAUCAUCUGGCACUAGAGAAGAAGACCAUCAAACAUCCACAUCAGCUGAUGGAGGUCCAAGAGUCUCACCAAACAAACAACCUACAGAGUGAAGACCUCCAAUCUGAUUGGACGGCCUCCUAUUCAGCCACAUAUUGUUCCAGAUAAGACAAGUACAAGAUUCUUCAGAGCCGUUCUACCACGAGCCUGACAGGAAGAACUCCAACAGCUACUGAAUGUUCCUGUGGUCCCCUCAAGGCUACAGGAGGAGCCCUACGAGGACGAGCCGGUCCACCUGAUGGAGGCCAGUCGCUGCGGUUCAAAGGCAACACCGACUACGUGGACUUCUACUGGACCACACGGAGGCCUUCAAACCGGACCAACAAGUUCAGCGACUCCCCGACUCGUGGGUCUGAGGACGCUGCCGAGCCUCGGUCCAGCCGGCCUCCUGUCUGUGGGUGUUUGAGUGCUGAGAGGUUUGUGGAUGCAUGUGAACGUGUCUGUGUUGAAACAGCAGCUUUGGACUCACUAACGCUGGGAAAAACCAAGAGCUCCUUUAUUUGUGACUUCCACUAAAAAACUGAUGAAAAUAAGUUUGCCAGGGUUCUGAC